rnacentral:misc_RNA from 1 species
UCCGGUUUGUCACCGGCAGUCCCAUUAGAGUGCCCAACUGAAUGUGGCAACUAAUGGCAAGGGUUGCGCUCGUUGCGGGACUUAACCCAACAUCUCACGACACGAGCUGACGACAGCCAUGCAGCACCUGUGCUGGCUACCCUUGCGGGUUCAUUGCCGUUUCCGGUUCUUACUACCAGCAUGUCAAACCUGGGUAAGGUUCUUCGCGUUGCCUCGAAUUAAGCAACAUGCUCCGCCGCUUGUGCGGGCCCCCGUCAAUUCUUUUGAGUUUUAGCCUUGCGGCCGUACUCCCCAGGCGGAACACUUAUCGCGUUGGCUUCGGCACAGACAGAUUCGACUCCGCCCACACCUAGUGUUCAUCGUUUACGGCGUGGACUAC